UGUGCACAGAGAUAGGUUUCCACACGUGAAUUGUCAACUAGGGCCAACUGUCACCAAUGGCAGUAACACUGCUUUUCUGUGCGUCAAGGUCUCAUGGACUAAUUGGCUCUCAUUCACCGGGAACCCAACAGAUAAGUCGUCCUUCUGUGUGUGAAGAAAAUGCUCGGUUUUAAAACUGCUCUGAAAAUGAUGAAAGCAGGAUCGCCCCGGUGACGCUGUCAGGGGGCAACAAGCAGCUUGAGAAUUUCGUCUUCUCCAGGUAGCAGCUUGAAGGACACCCCUUUCCAUUAAGGAGGACUGCAUGGCAGGCAG
rnacentral:lncRNA from 1 species